rnacentral:tRNA from 1 species
GGCUCGGUAGCUUAGUUGGUGAAGCACUUGCCUAGCGAAUAAAGGACAUAAGUUCAGAUCGUACCUGAGCUG